GAUGUAUAAUAAUUUAUAAAAUUAAAAUAAGUGAGAGUGUAACGCAUUAAACAAUAAAACAACACUUUUUUCCUCCACUAGUCAUGUACAUGUAUUAAUAACUUAAUAUGUUUGUUGGGAUUGACAGAAUCUAUCAAGUUUGGAGUUUAUUGACCUCCAUUGCUGCAAACGCUUGAUAGAGUGCCCAAAUUUGGCAGGUGCCCCGAAUCUCAAAUUCGUAAGACUCGAUGGCUGUAAAAACUUACAAGAUGUUGAUCCAUCUGUUUUCUCUCUCCCCAAGAUUGAAGAACUAUAUGUGAGCUAUUGCACAUCGCUAAAGAGGCUUUGCAGUGAUUAUUGUUCGCCCUCUCUCUGUGGCUUGUGGGCCAUUGGUUGCUCCAAUUUGAAAGAGUUCUCAAUCUCCAUGACGGCUGAUCAUUCCAAAAUCAAGUUGUGUUUACCAUCAACGGCAUUGAGUGAAGUGCCAUCCACUAUUAUGCAUCUCAAAGAUCUUAAGUGGUUCAGUUUUAACAUUAGUUACUCUCUUGAGAAACUUCCUCAAAACUUUACCUCCAAAAUUACACUCAUGGAUCCAAUAAAACAUGAAGACGACACAUGCAUCAUCUUAAGUAGAAUAUUGUCUACCCCUGUCUUCUUGUCUCUCAAGGCUUUAAAGCAAGAAACUGCAAAUCCUUGAAUGAAGUCUCAAGUUUAACCAGUGAACCACCCACAAAACACAAUGUAUGGUUUGCAUUCCAUAACUGCACAAAGUUGGAUGAUGAUGCAUAUGAAGCAGUUUUGAAAGACUUGAAAUCCAGGAUAGAACUUGUGGCAAAUAAUGAUGAAUAUCCGCAUAAUGAAGCAAACAAUGGUAAUACAUUCUUGUAUUAUUUACCAAGUAAAGAGAGCAUAAUUAAUGAGUGGUUCCCUGACUACUACUCUAGAGAAGCUUCGAUCAUUGUUGAAGUUGCUCCAGAUCACAAGAUUUCUUCUUGUCUUGUUGGCUGCAUCUUGAUUUCUCAAUACCAAUAUUGCAAACUUGGCAAGAAAAAAGUGAUAUUUGGAUGGAAAUGCUACUUGGGAAAGGGUUGCAACGAGUGGGAAUGGAUAGCAACUUCUGCCAAUAGAGGACGCUUGACCGGCUCUAAUCGCCCUAAGAUUGUAUUGAAAAUGGUAUCAGAUCAUAAGGUAGUAUGGUAUGAUGGAGAGCCUUCCAACAAGAUAAUGGAA